AUGCAGCCAUGCCGCGUGUGUGAAGAAGGCCUUCGGGUUGUAAAGCACUUUCAGUUGUGAGGAAAAGUUAGUAGUUAAUACCUGCUAGCCGUGACGUUAACAACAGAAGAAGCACCGGCUAACUCCGUGCCAGCAGCCGCGGUAAUACGGAGGGUGCGAGCGUUAAUCGGAAUUACUGGGCGUAAAGCCCACGCAGGCGGUUUGUUAAGCUAGAUGUGAAAGCCCCGGGCUCAACCUGGGAUGGUCAUUUAGAACUGGCAGACUAGAGUCUUGGAGAGGGGAGUGGAAUUCCAGGUGUAGCGGUGAAAUGCGUAGAUAUCUGGAGGAACAUCAGUGGCGAAGGCGACUCCCUGGCCAAAGACUGACGCUCAUGUGCGAAAGUGUGGGUAGCGAACAGGAUUAGAUACCCUGGUAGUCCACACCGUAAACGCUGUCUACUAGCUGUGUGUGUCUUUAAGACGUGCGUAGCGAAGCUAACGCGCUAAGUAGACCGCCUGGGGAGUACGGCCGCAAGGUUAAAACUCAAAUGAAUUGACGGGG
rnacentral:rRNA from 1 species